rnacentral:rRNA from 1 species
UACGUAGGGUCCAAGCGUUAAUCGGAAUUACUGGGCGUAAAGCGUGCGCAGGCGGUUGUGUAAGUCAGAUGUGAAAUCCCCGGGCUCGACCUGGGAAUUGCAUUUGAGACUGCACGGCUAGAGUGUGUCAGAGGGGGGUAGAAUUCCACGUGUAGCAGUGAAAUGCGUAGAGAUGUGGAGGAACACCGAUGGCGAAGGCAGCCCCCUGGGCCGAUACUGACGCUCAGGCACGAAAGCGUGGGGAGCAAACAGG